CCUACGGGGGGCAGCAGUGGGGAAUAUUGGGCAAUGGAGGAAACUCUGACCCAGCAACGCAGCGUGAAUGAUGAAGGUCUUCGGAGUGUAAAGCUCUUUUCUAAGGGAAGAAGAAUGUGACGGUACCUUAGGAAUAAGCCUCGGCUAACUACGUGCCAGGAGUCGCGGCAAUACGUAGGAGGCAAGGGUUAUCCGGAGUGACUGGGCGUAAGGGGUGCGUAGGUGGUUUGACAAUUUGGUAGCGUAACUCCGGGGCUCAACCUCGGCAGUACUACCAAAACUGUCGGACGUGAGUGCAGGAGGGGCAAAUGGAAUUCCUAGUGUAGCGGUGGAAUGCGUAGAUAUUAGGAGGAACACCAGUGGCGAAGGCGAUUUGCUGGACUGUAACUGACACUGAGGCACGAAAGCGUGGGGAGCAAACAGGAUUAGAUACCCCAGUAGUC
rnacentral:rRNA from 1 species